GGAGUUUGGGCCGUGUCUCAGUCCCAAUGUGGCCGGUCACCCUCUCAGGUCGGCUACGGAUCAUCACCUUGGUGGGCCGUUACCUCACCAACCAGUUAAUCCGACGCGGGCCCAUCCUCCACCGAUAAAUCUUUCCGCCCAGGAUCAUGCGACCCCGUGCGCAUAUGCGGUAUUAACAGUCGUUUCCAACUGUUAUCCCCCUGUGAAGGGGCAGGUUACCCACGCGUUCCUCACCCAUCCCGCCGCUAAGUACAGACUAAAAGCAAGCUUUCUGUCUGUCUCCGCUCGACUUGCAUGUGUUAGGCACGCCGCCAGCGUUCAUC
rnacentral:rRNA from 1 species